rnacentral:rRNA from 1 species
AACGAACGCUGGCGGCAGGCCUAACACAUGCAAGUCGAGCACCCUUUCGGGGGCGCGGCGGACGGGUGAGUAACGCGUGGGAAUAUGCCCUUCUCUACGGAAUAGCCUCGGGAAACUGAGAGUAAUACCGUAUACGCCCUGUGGGGGAAAGAUUUAUCGGGGAAGGAUUAGCCCGCGUUGGAUUAGGUAGUUGGUAGGGUAAUGGCCUACCAAGCCGACGAUCCAUAGCUGGUUUGAGAGGAUGAUCAGCCACACUGGGACUGAGACACGGCCCAGACUCCUACGGGAGGCAGCAGUGGGGAAUCUUAGACAAUGGGGGCAACCCUGAUCGAGCCAUGCCGCGUGAGUGAUGAAGGCCUUAGGGUUGUAAAGCUCUUUCAGCUGGGAAGAUAAUGACGGUACCAGCAGAAGAAGCCCCGGCUAACUCCGUG